AUUGAACGCUGGCGGCAGGCCUAACACAUGCAAGUCGAGCGAGCGGCGGACGGGUGAGUAAUGUCUGGAGACUGCCCGAUAGAGGGGGAUAAAUACUGGAAAAGGUGGCUAAUACCGCAUACUAUCGGAUAACCCAUAUGGGAUUAGCUAGUAGGUGGGGUAAAGGCUCACUUGGGCGACGAUCUCUAGCUGGUCUGAGAGGAUGAUCAGCCACACUGGGACUGAGACACGGCCCAGACUCCUACGGAGGCAGCAGUAGGGAAUAUUGCGCAAUGGGCGCAAGCCUGAUGCAGCCAUGCCGCGUGUAUGAAGAAGGCCUUAGGGUUGUAAAGUACUUUCAGCGGGGAGGCGUUACCCGCAGAAAAAGCACCGGCUAACUCCGUGCCAGCAGCCGCGGUAAUAC
rnacentral:rRNA from 1 species